rnacentral:piRNA from 1 species
AUCUGUAUCUACAGGCUGUGGGGUU